CGCCUUGCCAGCCCGCUCAGAAACUUAAAGGAAUUGACGGGGCCCGCACAAGCGGUGGAGUAUGUGGUUUAAUCGAUGCAACGCGAAGAACCUUACCUGGUCUUGACAUCCCGGAGACCCUUAGGAAACUAGGGGGUGCUUCCAUCUGGAAGAAUCUGGAGACAGGUGCUGCAUGGCUGUCGUCAGCUCGUGUCGUGAGAUGUUGGGUUAAGUCCCGCAACGAGCGCAACCCUUGCCUUUAGUUGCCAGCAGUUCGGCUGGGCACUCUAAAGGGACUGCCGGUGUUAAACCGGAGGAAGGUGGGGAUGACGUCAAGUCCUCAUGGCCUUUAUGACCAGGGCUACACACGUACUACAAUGGCCGAUACAAAGGGCAGCGACACUGCGAGGUGAAGCCAAUCCCGUAAAAUCGGUCUCAGUCCGGAUUGGAGUCUGCAACUCGACUCCAUGAAGUUGGAAUCGCUAGUAAUCGUGGAUCAGCAUGCCACGGUGAAUACGUUCCCGGGCCUU
rnacentral:rRNA from 1 species